rnacentral:rRNA from 1 species
AUUGAACGCUGGCGGCAGGCCUAACACAUGCAAGUCGAGCGGAUGAAGGGAGCUUGCUCCUGGAUUCAGCGGCGGACGGGUGAGUAAUGCCUAGGAAUCUGCCUGGUAGUGGGGGAUAACGUCCGGAAACGGGCGCUAAUACCGCAUACGUCCUGAGGGAGAAAGUGGGGGAUCUUCGGACCUCACGCUAUCAGAUGAGCCUAGGUCGGAUUAGAUAGUUGGUGGGGUAAAGGCCUACCAAGGCGACGAUCCGUAACUGGUCUGAGAGGAUGAUCAGUCACACUGGAACUGAGACACGGUCCAGACUCCUACGGGAGGCAGCAGUGGGGAAUAUUGGACAAUGGGCGAAAGCCUGAUCCAGCCAUGCCGCGUGUGUGAAGAAGGUCUUCUGAUUGUAAAGCACUUUAAGUUGGGAGGAAGGGCAGUACGUUAAUACCUUGCUGUUUUGACGUUACCAACAGAAUAAGCACCGGCUAACUUCGUG